GAAACGCGAUAGUUAAUGUGAAUUGCAGAAUUCAGUGAAUCAUCGAAUCUUUGAACGCACAUUGCGCCCUCUGGCAUUCCCGGGGGCAUGCCUGUCCGAGCGUCAUUACGCACCCUCAAGCCCGGCUUGUGUGAUGGGCCCCGGCGUCUCGUUCGCGAGACGGGCCCGAAAGGCAGCGGCGGCGUCGACCCAUGAGCCCGAGCGUAUGGGGACUUCUGUCACACGUUCGCGGUGCGGACCGGCGCCUGCUUGACUUUUCUGAUUAUCCAGGUUGACCUCGGAUCAGGUAGGGAUACCCGCUGAACUUAAGC
rnacentral:misc_RNA from 1 species